AACGCUAGCUACAGGCUUAACACAUGCAAGUCGAGGGGCAGCAUUUCAGUUUGCUUGCAAACUGGAGAUGGCGACCGGCGCACGGGUGAGUAACACGUAUCCAACCUGCCGAUAACUCGGGGAUAGCCUUUCGAAAGAAAGAUUAAUACCCGAUGGUAUAAUCAGACCGCAUGGUCUUGUUAUUAAAGAAUUUCGGUUAUCGAUGGGGAUGCGUUCCAUUAGGCAGUUGGUGAGGUAACGGCUCACCAAACCUUCGAUGGAUAGGGGUUCUGAGAGGAAGGUCCCCCACAUUGGAACUGAGACACGGUCCAAACUCCUACGGGAGGCAGCAGUGAGGAAUAUUGGUCAAUGGGCGCAGGCCUGAACCAGCCAAGUAGCGUGAAGGAUGACUGCCCUAUGGGUUGUAAACUUCUUUUAUAUGGGAAUAAAGUUUUCCACGUGUGGAAUUUUGUAUGUACCAUAUGAAUAAGGAUCGGCUAACUCCGUGCCAGCAGCCGCGGUAAUACGGAGGAUCCGAGCGUUAUCCGGAUUUAUUGGGUUUAAAGGGAGCGUAGGUGGACAGUUAAGUCAGUUGUGAAAGUUUGCGGCUCAACCGUAAAAUUGCAGUUGAUACUGGCUGUCUUGAGUACAGUAGAGGUGGGCGGAAUUCGUGGUGUAGCGGUGAAAUGCUUAGAUAUCACGAAGAACUCCGAUUGCGAAGGCAGCUCACUGGACUGCAACUGACACUGAUGCUCGAAAGUGUGGGUAUCAAACAGGAUUAGAUACCCUGGUAGUCCACACAGUAAACGAUGAAUACUCGCUGUUUGCGAUAUACAGUAAGCGGCCAAGCGAAAGCAUUAAGUAUUCCACCUGGGGAGUACGCCGGCAACGGUGAAACUCAAAGGAAUUGACGGGGGCCCGCACAAGCGGAGGAACAUGUGGUUUAAUUCGAUGGUACGCGAGGAACCUUACCCGGGCUUAAAUUGCAUUUGAAUAUAUUGGAAACAGUAUAGCCGUAAGGCAAAUGUGAAGGUGCUGCAUGGUUGUCGUCAGCUCGUGCCGUGAGGUGUCGGCUUAAGUGCCAUAACGAGCGCAACCCUUAUCUUUAGUUACUAACAGGUCAUGCUGAGGACUCUAGAGAGACUGCCGUCGUAAGAUGUGAGGAAGGUGGGGAUGACGUCAAAUCAGCACGGCCCUUACGUCCGGGGCUACACACGUGUUACAAUGGGGGGUACAGAAGGCAGCUACCUGGUGACAGGAUGCUAAUCCCAAAAGCCUCUCUCAGUUCGGAUCGAAGUCUGCAACCCGACUUCGUGAAGCUGGAUUCGCUAGUAAUCGCGCAUCAGCCAUGGCGCGGUGAAUACGUUCCCGGGCCU
rnacentral:rRNA from 1 species